rnacentral:lncRNA from 1 species
CCAAAUACAAGAUUUAAAGCUGGGAUAAUCACGGGGGAUGUAAACGGUAACUUGACGGAAGCCGCGGAUUGGAUCACAAAACUCCUGAACUGAUUUCUACCCCCGAUUUCGCUUGGGGUUUUCCUGAUUUUCUCCCGAUUUCGCAUGAUUCCAAAUUUUUCUAAUACGGUUUUGGUCAGUACGGGAGCAAAGUUUCAUCCACAGCGGGGACACAAGUUUCCCUGCGCUGAUCUUCUUCCGUCUGCCUUCCUG